rnacentral:rRNA from 1 species
UACGGGGGGAGCAAGCGUUGUUCGGAUUUACUGGGCGUAAAGGGCGCGUAGGCGGUCAGCACAAGUCAGUUGUGAAAUCUCCGGGCUUAACUCGGAAAGGUCAACUGAUACUGUGCGACUAGAGUGCAGAAGGGGCAACUGGAAUUCUCGGUGUAGCGGUGAAAUGCGUAGAUAUCGAGAGGAACACCUGCGGCGAAGGCGGGUUGCUGGCUGACACUGACGCUGAUGCGCGAA